UUACGGCCAUAUAGCAUUGAAACAACGGUUCUCUUACGAACACCGAAGUUAAGCAACGUCAAACCAGGUAAGUAACUAGAUAGGUGACUGCAGGUGAAUACUAGGUGUGGUA